AACCCUGCACUCUCAAAAGACCGCUCAAAACUCAAUAAAUUGCAUCUAACACUAAGAAUAACAGACUUUACUCCAACCAAUCUGAAUUCAUAGAAUUCUUAUAAUCACAAACUUCCUCUAUUAAAACACACACACACAACUCUCAAUAAACAACAAUCAUAAUCUUCCAUCCAUAAUCAAUCUUCCAAUAACUUCUCAUAUAAUUCAAUCACUCAAUACUCCAAUUACAUAAUCAAUAAUUCAUAAAUCAAUCUCUGAUUUAUUCCUCAGACUCACUUCUCAAUAUUCAAAAACUAUUCAUUACUCUUCAACAACAAAGAAAACAAAAAAAAAAAAAA
rnacentral:lncRNA from 1 species